rnacentral:rRNA from 1 species
AGAUAAUAGAUACCCUGGUAGUCCACGCCCUAAACGAUGUCUACUAGUUGUCGGGUCUUAAUUGACUUGGUAAACGCAGCUAAACGCGUGAAGUAGACCGCCUGGGGAGUACGGUCGCAAGAUUAAAACUCAAAGGAAUUGACGGGGACCCGCACAAGCGGUGGAUGAUGUGGAUUAAAUUCGAUGCAACGCGAAAAACCUUACCUACCCUUGACAUGGAUGGAAUCCCUGAGAGAUUGGGGAGUGCUCGAAAGAGAACCAUUACACAGGUGCUGCAUGGCUGUCGUCAGCUCGUGUCGUGAGAUGUUGGGUUAAGUCCCGCAACGAGCGCAACCCUUGUCAUUAGUUGCUACGAAAGGGCACUCUAAUGAGACUGCCGGUGACAAACCGGAGGAAGGUGGGGAUGACGUCAAGUCCUCAUGGCCCUUAUGGGUAGGGCUUCACACGUCAUACAAUGGUACAUACAGAGGGUCCGCCAACCCGGCGAGGGGUAGCUAAUCCCAGAAAGUGUAUCGUAGUCCGGAUUGUAGUCUGCAACUCG